rnacentral:rRNA from 1 species
AUGAACGCUGGCGGCGUGCCUCAUCCAUGCAAGUCGAGCGAACAGACGAGGAGCUUGCUCCUCUGACGUUAGCGGCGGACGGGUGAGUAACACGUGGAUAACCUACCUAUAAGACUGGGAUAACUUCGGGAAACCGGAGCUAAUACCGGAUAAUAUAUUGAACCGCAUGGUUCAAUAGUGAAAGACGGUUUUGCUGUCACUUAUAGAUGGAUCCGCGCCGCAUUAGCUAGUUGGUAAGGUAACGGCUUACCAAGGCGACGAUGCGUAGCCGACCUGAGAGGGUGAUCGGCCACACUGGAACUGAGACACGGUCCAGACUCCUACGGGAGGCAGCAGUAGGGAAUCUUCCGCAAUGGGCGAAAGCCUGACGGAGCAACGCCGCGUGAGUGAUGAAGGUCUUCGGAUCGUAAAACUCUGUUAUUAGGGAAGAACAAAUGUGUAAGUAACUAUGCACGUCUUGACGGUACCUAAUCAGAAAGCCACGGCUAACUACGUG